rnacentral:rRNA from 1 species
GUGUCAGCAGCCGCGGUAAUACGGAGGGUGCAAGCGUUGUCCGGAAUCACUGGGUGUAAAGGGUGUGUAGGUGGGUCUGUAAGUCAGAGGUGAAAGCCUGCGGCUUAACCGUAGAAUUGCCUUUGAUACUGCAGAUCUUGAGUCCUGGAGAGGCCGCCGGAAUUCGUGGUGUAGUGGUGAAAUGCGUAGAUAUCACGAGGAACACCAGAGGUGUAGACGGGUCACUGGACGGGUACUGACGCUGAGGCACGAAAGCGUGGGGAGCAAACAGGAUUAGAUACCCUGGUAGUCCACGCCGUAAACGAUGGAUGCUCGAUGCUGCGGCGUUUUUGCUGCAGUGUCCAAGCUAACGCAUUAAGCAUCCCACCUGGGGAGUACGCUCGCAAGAGUGAAACUCAAAGGAAUUGGCGGGG